rnacentral:misc_RNA from 1 species
UUAAUUCUUUGCUUUGUAUUCAGACACAAACGACAGAAUUACGGCAUAAAAGCGGCGCCGGAGCGCCGAAGCACAUUUUUUCAUGUCCACAGGUUUGAGGGGUUUUGAAGGUACCAAGACCAUUCGUUAAUGAUCCCUCCGCAGGUUCACCUACGGAAA